UACUGCACAUACAGCGGCUGAAAUAAGUAUUUAGCACAUCACCAUUUUUCUCACUAAAUAUACUUCCAAAGGUGCUAUUAACUUGAAAAUGUCACCAGCUGUUGGGAACAAGCUAAGUAAUCCAUACAUACAGUGGGUACGGAAAGUAUUCAGACCCCCUUAAAAUUUUUACUCUUUGUUAUAUUGCAGCCAUUUGCUAAAAUAAUUUUUCAUUUUUUUCCCCCUCAUGAAUGUACACACAGCACCCCAUAUUGACAGCAAAAACUUAAUUGUUGAUAUUUUUGCAGAUUUAUUAAAAAAGAAAAACUGAAAUAUCACACAGUAUUCAGACCCUUUGCUCAGUAUUUAGUAGAAGCACCAUUUUGAGCUUGAGUUUUUCACUCCUGGAUUUGGGGAUCCUCUGCCAUUCCUCCUUGCAGAUCCUCUCCAGUUCUGUCAGGUUGGAUGGUGAACGUCGGUGGACAGCCAUUUUCAGGUCUCUCCAGAGAUGCUCAAUUGGGUUUAAGUCAGGGCUCUGGCUGGGCCAUUCAAGAACAGUCACGUAGUUGUUCUGAAUCCAUCCUUCGUUAUUUUAGCUGUGUGCUUAAGGGCUCUUUAUACACGCGCGGGCGGUGACCAGAGAUGAUGUCCGUGGCAUAAUAUGUGCAGCAAAAUGUUUUGUCGUGUGCGCGUUAAGUGACACAGAGGGGCCGCACGGGCCAAUGCGUUGGUCACGUGAUACAAUGUGGGCGUUGUCGGCCGUGCGAGCGCGGGAGUAUAAAGAGCCCUUUAGGGUCAUUGUCUUGUUGGAAGGUGAACCUUUGGCCCAGUCUGAGGUCCUGACCCCUCGGGAGAAGGUUUUCGUUCACGAUAUCCCUGUACUUGGCCGCAUUCAUCUUUCCUUCGAUUCCAACCAGUGGUCCUAUCCCUGCAGCUGAAAAACACCCCCACAGCAUGAUGCUGCAACCACCAUGCUUCACUGUUGGGACUGUAUUGGACAGGUGAUGAGCAGUGCCUGGUUUCUCCACACAUACCGCUUGGAAUUAAGGCCAAAAAGUUCUAUCUUGGUCUCAUCAGACCAGAGAAUCUUAUUUUUCAUCAUCUUUGAGUCCUUCAGGUGUUUUUUUUAGCAAACUCCAUGUGGGCUUUCAUGUGUCUUGCACUGAGGAGAGGCUUCCGUCGGGCCACUCUGCCAUAAAGCCCACUGGUGGAGGGCUGCAGUAAUGGUUGACUUUCUAGAACCUUCUCCCAUCUCCCAACUGCAUCUCUGGAGCUCAGCCACAGUGAUCUUUGGGUUCUUCUUUACCUCUCUCACCAAGGCUCUUCUCCCACCGAUUGCUCAGUUUGGCCAGACGGCCAGCUCUUGGAAUGGUUCUGGUGGUCCCAAACGUCUUCCAUUUAACUCAUUCCCUGCCAAUGCCAUCCAAAGAUGUCAUUAAGAUUCCAUCUAUUCCCUGCCAAUGUCAUCUAAAGACGUCAAUGGCAUUUUUUUAACGGGGAUGGGUGGGUCCUGUGCAGUUUGUGUCAUCGGCAAUGAGGAAUGGCACCCUGUAGAGGGCAACAAUUCCUUGAGGUGAACGUCCCUUCCUCAAAUUGAAGAAGAGGAAGAAGGAGGAGGAGGUGGGUCGGCGGGGUGCAACGGACAAUGACAAGAGACAAACAUAAUGGUGAAAAAGAGAGAAGACAACAUGAAAAAACAUCUUAAAAAAAAGAAAGCUUUCGGUGCUCGAAAUUCAAUGUGCCAAGGCAAGAAAAAUAUUCCUGCGACCGACAGGAAUGACGCCUUAGAUUAUGCAGGGAAUAAAGUAUGACGCUUCGAGCGAUUGCGCAAAAUGCCGUAAAUUCAAAUCUUGGUCGUCUGCCGACCAGGAUUUGAAUAAAUGGGAUCCGGAAUCAUCAGAUACUGAACUCCGUUUUGGAUAGCCAGCCGAGCUUCCUCCGACGAAGAUCAACGAAGACGAAGACUAAGGUAACUCGUUUGCAGCUCAUGUUAGCUACAUUUAGCGAGCAAACACGCUCCUUCGAUCCUUGUUACACAAAAACAUAAUUUUGUCCCACGAAUUCACAUUACAAUGUAACAAUUGUUGCCAGGACUGAUUGGAAUUUUCAAUUUCGUCCAUCUUGCAGGAAUUCAACACCCGCGAGUCGAGCGUUUUUUAGGAUUGCGACGAAGAAAAGUUAUGCAUACAGCAAACGUUCGACUCCCAUUCCAGUACGCAGUGCAGACAAAAAUGGUUGUGCUUUGAGCAGAAGUAGUGACUGGUUUCAAGGAGAAUGACAACCAAGAUCCCAUUCACUCCCAAAAGAAGAAUAAAAUCUAGGUGUGGAUAAAACUUUGCUAGAUUUUAUCCGCAAGGUAAUAAAAACCUGGACUAUUGAGCAAACGGUAGAGGAGGUCAAUAUGGAGGAAAAAAGUGUGGGAGACCCAUUUGUUCAUGCAUAUUUGUCAAAUGUAAAUUCUGUAUAUAGUUAUACUUGUAAAUAAAUAUUUUUUUCUGUCAAAAGUACUUUCUCAGUGUUGUUUUAUGUUCAGAUGUUUGAGAUUUUCUCACUAGAAAAAUAUUGGGGUCAAAGUCAUUGUUCUGCUUGAUGUGUCUGCUUUCACAAAAAAAACAGUUUUUUUCUUCCAGAAACAGAUUUGGGUGAAAGUAGCCUAUAUUUGACUGCUGAUUACUAAAGAACAGUAUAAGCUUUUUUAACAAACUUUUUUUCUGAUGAAAGAAGAGAGUCUGAUCUUUCUUUUGGUGGUUUUGGUGUGUACAUCGUCAUAGUACAUAAUAUUCUGUGGUGAUUGAAAAAUAAGUGAAAUUGCUUGAAAAUGCCUGGCAAUCGUAGGGUUCCCUGCUCAGGAAACGGCUGGCAGUGAAUAAGUUAAGCAUUAUAGAGGCCACUGUGCUCUUCGGAACCUCUAGUGCAGCAGAAUUUUUUUUGUAACCUUGGCCAGAUCCGCCUUGCCACAAUUCUCUUCAGGCAGCACUCAUCAAUGAAAAUGAAAAAGUUUUCUAACACUCACACACUCCGGUUAUUUACAUCAUUGCUGUCACAUGCUGUACAUCAUUGCUGUCCUAGUUAUCACAUUGCAUCAAACUAUUAAGCUACUAAGUACAUUUGAAAAAGGCCACGCAAGAACAAAGGACUAUCCGUCCAUCCAUCCACCUUCCGCUUAUCCGAGGUCGGGUCGCGGGGGCAGUAACUUUAGCAGGGACGCCCAGACUUCCCUCUCCCCAGCCACUUCAUCCAGCUCUUCUGGGGGGAUCCCGAGGCCAGCUGUGAGACAUCGUCUCUCCAGCAUGUCCUGGGUCAUCACCGGUGUCUCCUCCCGGUGAGACAUGCCUGGAAAACCUCACCAGGGAGGCGUCCAGGAGGCAUCCGAAUCAGAUGCUCCAGCCACCUCAUCUGGCUCCUCUCAAUGUGGAGGAGCAGCAGCUCUACUCUGAGCUCCUCCCGGAUGACCGAACUUCUCACCCGAUCUCUAAGGGAGAGCCCGGACACCCUGUGGAGGAAACUCAUUUCGGCCGCCUGUUUCCGGGAUCUUGUUCUUUUGGUCACGAAGCACAGCUCGUGGCCAUAGGUGAGGGUAGGAACGUAGCUUGACCGGUAAAUUGAGAGCUUCGCCUUUCGGCUUAGCUCAUUCUUUACCACAAGUAUUCCCCCCACCUACUCACGACGUCCUGAGUCGAGGUCAGCAGCGCCCCAUCCCCACUAUACACAGUGUUGAUGGUGCACUGCUUCCCCCUCCUGAGAUGCCGAGUGGCGGACCAGAAUUUCCUCGAAGCCGUCCGAAAGUCUUUCUCCAUGGCCUCACCGAACUCCUCCCAUGCCAGAGUUUUUGCUUCAGUGACCACCAAAGCCGCAUUUCGCUCCGCCAGCCGGUACCCAUCAGCUGCCUCAGGAGUCCACAGGCCAAAAAGGCCCGAUAGGACUCCUUCUUCAGCUUGACGGCAUCCCUCACCGUUGGUGUCCACCAACGGGUUCGGGGAUUGCCGCCACGACAGGCACCAACCACCUUACAGCCACAGCUGCGGUCGGCCGCCUCAGCAAUGGAGGCACGGAACAUGGUCCACUCGGACUCAAUGUCCCCCACCUACUCCGGAACAUGAGCAAAGUUCUUUCGGAGGUAGGAGUUGAAACUCCUUCGGACAGGGGAUUCUGCCAGACAUUCCCAGCAGACCCUCACAAUAUGUUUCAGCCUGCCAUCUUCCCCCACCAUCGGAGCCAACUCACCACCAGGUGGUGAUCAGUUGACAGCUUCGCACCUCUCUUCAUCCGAGUGUCCAAGACAUGCGGCCGCAAGUCCGAUGACACGACCACAAAGUCGAUCAUCGAACUGCGACCUAGGGUGUCCUGGUGCCAAGUGCACGUGUGGACACCCUUAUGCUUGAACAUGGUGUUUGUUAUGAACAAUCCGUGAUGAGCACCAAAGUCUCACAACAGAACGGGGGGAGGGGUCCUCACAAUCACACCCUUCCAGGUCUCACUGUCAUUGCCCACGUGAGUAUGGAAGUCCCCAGCGGGAGCCCUCUCCAGCACCCCCUCUAAGGACUCCAAAAAGGGUGGGUACUCUGAACUGCUGUUUGGUGCAUAGGCACAAACAACAGUCAGGACCCGUCCCCCCACCCGAAGGCGCAGGGAGGCUACUCUCUCGUCCACUGGGGUGAAUCCCAACAUACAGGCGCAGAGCCGGGGGGAAAUAAGUAUACCCACACUUGCUCGGCGCCUCUCACCGUGGGCAACUCCAGAGUGGAAGAGAGUCCAACCCCUCUCAAGAGGACUGGUACCAGAGCCCCGUGUGUGGAGGCGAGUCCGCCUAUAUCUAGUCAGAACUUCUCGACCUCACACACCAGCUCGGGCUCCUUCCCUGCCAGAGAGGUGACAUUCCACGUCCCUAGAGCCAGCUUCUGUAGCUGGGGAUCGGAUCGCCAAGGUCCUUGCCUUCGCCCACCGCCCAGCUCACACUGCACCCAACUCCUAUGACCCCUCCCACAGGCGGUGAGCCCAUGGGAAGGGGGACCCACGUUACCCUUUCGGCUGUGCCCGGCCGACCCCCGUAGGGGUCUUUUAGACGUGCUUUGUCUGGUCCCUCACUUAGGACCUGUUUGCCAUGGGUGACCCUACCAGGGACGUGAAGCCCCAGAAAACUUAGCUCCUAGGAUCAUUGGAACACACAAACCCCUCCACCACGAUAAGGUGACGGGUUCCAGGAGGGGACAAAGGACUAUUGAUGUAUUAAAAUUCACGCAACUAUAGAAUAUUAUAAUAAAAGAGUAUAUCGAUUAUAUUUUGUCUUUUUGCCAUAACAAAAUAGUGUAGCGUAGAUUGGUUUUGGAUAAAACAUUUAUUUUGGAACAGAAUACGUCGGUUUAGUUCGACGUACGUUUAACGUUACAGUCGAAUUAUCUUUGUCUCGUAAAGGCCACCACAUCUCUUUUUAUAUUUGUAAAUUUUAUGAAAAGUGACGAAAAACCUCUAUCAGUCUCAUAAUCUGAAGGUUGCUCCAUGAAAAUACAAAUAGUUCUUGACUCCAGUGGUUUUACUGUUUCACUCAAACACACAAAAUGACACAGGAAGUGGGAUUUUAUGCAAAACUACAGAGAAAUGAUGAAGAGGGAUUUUGCUACAAGACAAGGUACAGACAUCAUUCGUAUAGGAGGCUGAACUCGGGAUGUAAGCAUGGAAUGAGGAUGCGGAGUAAGCAAUGCUUAGAGCUGGGAGUUUCUGUGAUCUUUAAUAUAAACCCAAAUAUGCACCAAUCUGUACUUAGUACACAGCACGUUGUACUCAAGUUGCGUAGAACACAAUUUGGCUGGUCGAUCUUCCCAGUGGUUGGGCAAGAGUGCC